rnacentral:rRNA from 1 species
UGGGGAAUUUUGGACAAUGGGGGAAACCCUGAUCCAGCCAUCCCGCGUGUGCGAUGAAGGCCUUCGGGUUGUAAAGCACUUUUGGCAGGAAAGAAACGUCGCGGGUUAAUACCCCGCGAAACUGACGGUACCUGCAGAAUAAGCACCGGCUAACUACGUGCCAGCAGCCGCGGUAAUACGUAGGGUGCAAGCGUUAAUCGGAAUUACUGGGCGUAAAGCGUGCGCAGGCGGUUCGGAAAGAAAGAUGUGAAAUCCCAGAGCUUAACUUUGGAACUGCAUUUUUAACUACCGGGCUAGAGUGUGUCAGAGGGAGGUGGAAUUCCGCGUGUAGCAGUGAAAUGCGUAGAUAUGCGGAGGAACACCGAUGGCGAAGGCAGCCUCCUGGGAUAACACUGACGCUCAUGCACGAAAGCGUGGGGAGCAAACAGGAUUAGAUACCCUGGUAGUCCACGCCCUAACGAUGUCAACUAGCUGUUGGGGCCUUCGGGCCUUGGUAGCGCAGCUAACGCGUGAAGUUGACCGCCUGGGGAGUACGGUCGCAAGAUUAAAACUCAAA